GAAAGUUCCACUCCCCAAUCCAACUCCAAAACUCUCAGCUUCGAUAUAAGCCAAUCCAGCUCAACACCGGAAUAACGUCGAUUGCACAAUAUCGGAGUUCGGACACUCUCAUCUUGCUCUUCUCCUACCUUCUAAAAUUCAUAUCUCAUAUUUAAUACACAGUCUCAGCUUCUGUUACAUUCAACUCAUUGGUCUCUGCGUUUGGGGAAGCUUAACUGCUCAAAGUUGUAUAAUACUAUGCGUGGUGCAGCUGCCUUCUUGACUGUAAAGAACAAAUCUAAACUGAUCCAUCCUCCGAAAGGAUCAUGGGGUAGUCUGACUUCCACAGUACAAAGGCAAGGAAUGAAGAAUGAUUCUGAGGGAGAGUCUGUGGUUACAAAAGAGAAAGCUGACCCAAUUGCAGCGUUCAGUAGGCCUCCACCACUCCCCCCCCUUCUUGGUCCAUUGGCUGUUUUUUCAUUGUUAGAAACAUAUUUGAGUCCUGAUGGAAACGAUGACUAGAACGGGAUGUUUUGUAAUACCUUUUGGCUGAGAUCAAGUGUAGUAUCUGUUCUAGAAGGGGAUGUCUUGUAUGUUCAUUAACUGUACCAUUUCCACGACCUCGCUAUUACCAUGUAUGAUAUUUUCCUUGUUUGUGAAAUAAAGUAAAAUGAAGAGUACGUAAAAAAAAAGUGGAGACCCAAACGUAUUAAAAUCUUUAGAAAGGGCUUGCAAAUGUUCCAGAGAAACUUGAAGAGAAUUAUACAGAUCUUUGGCAUCCACUUUACCCAACGUUGUUGAGAAACUUUUAUCAGCCCUACAGGAGUUUAUGUAUUUUUAAUGUUAAAUAAGGAGCUUUUUUCAUGAAGAUCAAUGGCAUAUGGUAUUAAUUUUGACUUA